AUGCGCGACCUCAAGCAUGCAGUAGGCGCUUGGGUGAUGGAGUUGCCCUCUGUUCUAUGGGGACUAAGGACGACCCCCAACCGGUCGACUGGUGGAACUCCUUUCUUCAUGGUAUAUGGAGCUGAAGCAGUGCUUCCGAGUGACUUGCUCCAUAAUGCGCCCCGAGUGGAAAUCUUUUCAGAAGCCGAAGCCGAACAAGCACGUCAAGACGCUAUUGGCCUUCUGGAAGAGGGGAGAGAGAUGGCUUUGAUCCGGUCGACCAUUUAUCACCAAGAUCUUCAUCGAUUCCAUGCGCGAAAUGUCAGAGGUCGAGCAUUCCAGGAGGGAGAUCUUGUGCUCCGAGUGGAUCAGCAACACCCUCACAAGCUAGCCCCUGUCUGGGAAGGCCCUUUCAUCGUCACCAAGGUACUUCACAAUGAUGCGUAUCACCUUUACAACGUGACCAAGAGGAAGAACGAGCCGCGCGCUUGGAAUGCAGAUCUGCUCCGUCGUUUUUAUACCUAA
rnacentral:rRNA from 1 species